AUUAACGUGACAGUGUAUGAUGAGUAGACAGAUAUAUUUCCGACAGAGAGAGUGGGUCAUCGGCUGGAAGCCUGCUUAAGGUUCAGAUAUCUGUCAAAGUUCCCGUCGGAGCUUCAUUCCUGAAGGAUUUCUUGUAGGGAGUGACGUAUGUGCACGUUACGCAUUAAUUGAGUGCCCGGUAUGUCCGGGAAUCAGGGUGGUACCGCGAGAUUAAGCCUCGUCCCUCAG
rnacentral:ncRNA from 1 species